AAGAUGUGGAAGACCUUAAACAUGAAGCUGAGACAGCCCAAGCUGAAGUAGCAGUACGUCAGAGGGCAGCUGCCUGUGCUGUGCCUUAGCCUCUCGCCACGCAGGACUCCAGAGCCAGCAUUCUGCCAGCAGCAGGUAACUCCAGGGAAGCUCCCUCCUGUAAAUACCACUUGCCCCUGCAGCAGACUCCAGCCACGAGGAGAGCUCUGGUGUGAAAGUUGUUUUAUCUGUCUGCAAUGAAGUCUUCACUG